rnacentral:lncRNA from 1 species
CCAUCCCGUUACGUAUCAGAGCACCUAAAGACACACAUGAGAGCUAAUCCACUCACAACAGCAACUUAAACUCGAUCACCUGCAAGUUACUCAUACGAAGAGCAACAUUUUCAAGCAGAAGGGGUGAGAUUUCACAAAACAAUAAUAUCAAGCAUAUAAUUCAAUAAUUAUAUUUAACAACACAAAUAACUUCAUCUAUUAGUAAUAAUAAUUCUUCAUGUA